GACGAACGCUGGCGGCGUGCUUAACACAUGCAAGUCGAACGGAAAGGCCCUGCUUUUGUGGGGUGCGCGAGUGGCGAACGGGUGAGUAACACGUGAGUAACCUGCCCUUGACUUUGGGAUAACUUCAUGCAACUGGAGCUAAUACCGGAUAGGAGCUCCUGCUGCAGGGUGGGGGUUGGAAGGUUUCGGCGGUUGGGGAUGUACUCGCGGCUUAUCAGCUUGUUGGUUGGGUAGUGGCUUACCAAGGCUUUGACGGGUAGCCGGGCUGAGAGGGUGACCGGCCACAUUGGGCCUGAGCUACGGCCCAGACUCCUCCGGGAGGCAGCAGUGGGGAAUAUUGCACAAUGGGAGGAAGCCUGACGUAGCAACGCCGCGUGCGGGAUGACGGCCUUCGGGUUGUAACCCGCUGUCGCCUGUGACGAAGCGUGAGUGACGGUAAUGGGUAAAGAAGCACCGGCUAACUACGUG
rnacentral:rRNA from 1 species